UGAAAUUUUGGAAGUUAUGAUGCUUGUUCUUUAUUUGGUCACUUUAGACAAGCGGAGCUAAUAGUGAACCCACUCCAAUUACU
rnacentral:ncRNA from 2 species